UAACAUUAUAAACUUGUAGAACGAAAAUUAAAGAAAAUAACAAAAACGGAAUCAUAAAAUGUACACUUCAAGGAGAAAAAUCAUUUAAAACAUAAAAUGCUGCUGACUUGUAAGUUUUCGGAAGGGAAAUGGAAUUGUAGGCCUUUUACUGUUCUUGUUGGAAGCGUGCCAAGGAUAGAUCUUUGCUAUUCGAUCUCGAACUGAUUCAUCUUACUAUGCGAGCAUGAUUGGCAAAAAACGAACGGAGUUCUUGUUGGAAGCGUGCCAGAAAAGUUCAAUUUAUAUUUUAGGGGAGAAAAAAAAUGUUAAAACUGCAAAAGAAGCUCGUCUCAGAAAGUAGGGUUACAUUCUUCGGGGAAAGACGAUCGCCAAGAAGAUAAUCCUAAACCACCUGUGAAAAUAUUAAAAACCGUUUGGUAUGGAUUAACCAUUUGACAAGUCAUCUAAUACGAAAUUAUUGGACGCAAGGAAGGAAAACUGCUUUCUCAACCGAUCAUAAUCUAAUCACCAGAACAAAGAUGACAAGUAUAGCAAGGUUCAUAAGACCUCUAAAUUCUAAACAUUAUGAUGCUUACGGUCUUUUCUUACUGACUACAAAAACAGACUCCAUAGCAGCGGCAUCCAUGGAAGUCCCACUAUUCAUAUGUGUG